rnacentral:rRNA from 1 species
UAGGGAAUCUUGCGCAAUGGGCGAAAGCCUGACGCAGCCAUGCCGCGUGAAUGAUGAAGGUCUUAGGAUUGUAAAAUUCUUUCACCGGGGACGAUAAUGACGGUACCCGGAGAAGAAGCCCCGGCUAACUUCGUGCCAGUAGCCGCGGUAAUACGAAGGGGGCUAGCGUUGCUCGGAAUUACUGGGCGUAAAGGGAGCGUAGGCGGAUAGUUUAGUCAGAGGUGAAAGCCCAGGGCUCAACCUUGGAAUUGCCUUUGAUACUGGCUAUCUUGAGUAUGGAAGAGGUAUGUGGAACUCCGAGUGUAGAGGUGAAAUUCGUAGAUAUUCGGAAGAACACCAGUGGCGAAGGCGACAUACUGGUCCAUUACUGACGCUGAGGCUCGAAAGCGUGGGGAGCAAACA